GAUGAACGCUGGCGGCGUGCCUAAUACAUGCAAGUCGAACGCACAGCGAAAGGUGCUUGCGCCUUUCAAGUGAGUGGCGAACGGGUGAGUAACACGUGGAUAACCUACCUCAAGGUUGGGGAUAACAUUUGGAAACAGAUGCUAAUACCGAAUAAAACUUCGUAUCGCAUGAUACAAGGUUAAAAGGCGCUACGGCGUCACCUAGAGAUGGAUCCGCGGUGCAUUAGUUAGUUGGUGGGGUAAAGGCCUACCAAGACAAUGAUGCAUAGCCGAGUUGAGAGACUGAUCGGCCACAUUGGGACUGAGACACGGCCCAAACUCCUACGGGAGGCUGCAGUAGGGAAUCUUCCACAAUGGGCGAAAGCCUGAUGGAGCAACGCCGCGUGUGUGAUGAAGGCUUUCGGGUCGUAAAGCACUGUUGUAUGGGAAGAACAGCUAGAGUAGGGAAUGACUUUAGUUUGACGGUACCAUACCAGAAAGGGACGGCUAAAUACGUGCCAGCAGUCGCGGUAAUACGUAUGUCCCGAGCGUUAUCCGGAUUUAUUGGGCGUAAAGCGAGCGCAGACGGUUGAUUAAGUCUGAUGUGAAAGCCCGGAGCUCAACUCCGGAAAGGCAUUGGAAACUGGUCAACUUGAGUGCAGUAGAGGUAAGUGGAACUCCAUGUGUAGCGGUGGAAUGCGUAGAUAUAUGGAAGAACACCAGCGGCGAAGGCGGCUUACUGGACUGUAACUGACGUUGAGGCUCGAAAGUGUGGGUAGCAAACAGGAUUAGAUACCCUGGUAGUCCACACCGUAAACGAUGAACACUAGGUGUUAGGAGGUUUCCGCCU
rnacentral:rRNA from 1 species